UUAUUUUUUUUUCUAUUGUUGGAAAAUAAUCGUACAAUUUCAAUCUUUUCCUUCUAUUCCAGCGUACAGGAUCGAACGAUCGCGAUAGUGUGGACGCGUGUCUGAAAAGCGUACAGGAUAAGCCAUUUCCCCUUUUGUCUCGUGGAUUUGCAUCUCUUACAAAAGAAACGCCUGCUUCUGACAGUAGUGCUCUGGACUCGUUAUCGCUAUCCAAGGAAAUCUCCAAGGUGGACGGAAUAGAAAUCGACGAGAGGGAGGAAGAGGAGUAAGAAGGGUAGUGGUGGAGGAGAUGGGUUCACAAUCGCCAUUAUGCGCACUCGGUGAAUUCCAUUAGGACGCCGUAGGGAAGAAGCUUUAUCAGUGCUCGCACAAGUCAAAUGUCAUUUGUGUUUCGCUGAAUCUUGUCGCUGAAAACGCGCAUCUCACGUCCACCUGUCACCCCUUUCCAUCGUCGAUCGGUACGAUCGAAUCUAGGUUGAAUCGAGUUAAAAUUGCAAAGCAGUUUGACGAAGAAGAAUUUUCACGAUACUUUGGAAUUUUUCAAACGCUCGAAGAGAGUGUAAUCGAUAGCAAUUUGAAGGGUAAACCGACGAGGAGGAAACGAACGAUCGUGAUAUUAAAGGUGUAGAGGAAUGGAACGAAAGUAAUAAUUGACCAACUAAGAUUUAAUUCGAAUCCGGAAUAUUCGUCAGCUAGAUGGCGCUGAAACGGACAGCCGUUAUCCCACGAGUAGUUUAGCUUAACAGGAAUACAACAGUUUUCUAACAAACGAAGAGGAGGAGGAGCUUUGAAAUCACGACCGGUUCAUUAAGCAAGAAAGAGGUUGCCGCCACGACUCCUGCUAGGAUAAUUUAUCACCAACCCUCCGUGGCCUGUGGAGCCUCGUUUCGAUGAGUUACGACGCGUUGAAUCUGUUCCUCCUUUUUUACUGGCCAUAAAACUCUGAUCGACGAGGCUGCCACGUGUAAAAUCCAGCCACAAGGAUCGAAAAUCUGCAUUAUUGAUGAAAUUCUAGUACCGGUGUCGAUUAGGUGCGUCUCCGAUUUGAGAGAAAAUUUUAAAUUAUACGAAGAUUAUAUGAAGAACGAUACGAAGUUUGAAAAGAAGCACGUAUAUCAAGCAUAAGAAGAGGCGAGAUAAAUUUAAUGAUCACGAUGACGGUGAUAAAAUUUAUUGAUCAAAGAUUGGAUAUUUAAAAAUCGGAUGUUAUCGCGAAUCCGACUCGUAUAAUCGAAUCAAUACACGUAUAUCAACGUCGUGUCUGAUAGUUACAGAAGAUUAAUGGAACGGAACGAUUCCGUGUAUUUAUCCGAAUAAAAGUUGCGUUACGAGAAUGUCGAUAUUUCAAUCGAUAAUGCAUAUAUUUACACGCGUUCUGCAUGUAUAUAUUUUAUAAUUUAUGUUCAUGAAAUUUUAUUAAUAAUAUAAAGGAGAGAUUGAAACCUACGAUAAGAUAUUUUUAUCUAUUCGUAAGUAAGUUUUUAUAAUUGGAGACUUUUAUGAUUAUAUCGUGUAAAAGAUAUUUCUAAACUGUUAUACAUUUAUUAGGCUACUAACACGAAAGUCUCUCUUAUCACCAUUGGGAACAAGAUUCAAAGAUAUUCGCCUUCGAGUAUCAGAAACUUUUCCACUUCUUUUAUUCCAUCAUGAUAGAAGAGAGAAAGUUUCAAAGACAAAAUACUUUUCUACAUCGUCGAGAAGCCUUCGUAUUCGAGAGUCUCGACAGCUUGAGAAUAGUAUACCUUGUAUUUAAACGUCCUUCGUAGCCUUUUUUUCCUUUUUCCUUUUUUUUUUUUUUGUAGAAUUUCUAUGAAAUCAUUAAUCAACCGUGAGAUAGGGGGAGGGAAAUAUUAUCGAGGCAAGUACUACGCUCUACUUAAAACUCCUGGCUCUCCUCAAAAGCGGAAUAUUGCCUUGAAAAUUUCUUCUUUCACGGCUCGUCCGACGUUAUUACACGCUAGUCUCAUUUAGCCCGUGUUACUUACUCUUGAUGAGCCUCCGUACUUUUAACGAAGCAAGAAUUACCAUCACCAUCACCGUCUCGAUUCUCUGUUUCUUACCAUCUUUGGGGCGACGUUUAACGCGUUAAGUCACAAUUUUUUCUUAAAUUUUACUCGAGCGAAAAGUUGCCAACUUUUGAUCGAAGAGAAUUUUUUUAACAAACAGUACUUUCUUACGAAAUGAGAAUCGACGAAUGCGUGUAAAUUUUGAAAUCAACAUUUCAAUGCAACCGAUUGCUUCUUGUAAUUUUUCAACGUGAAAAGGAUUUAUUUGGAUUUUUUCUCGAAAGAGGGGAUAAUUUUAUUAAUUUCAUUUUCAGAAUAUUCAACGGAUAGAACAAAAUGGAGGAAUAUUCGUUAAAAUGUAACGGUGUAAUUGAUAUUUUUGCAAGGAGGAUGUGUCAAUGAUUAUUAAUCAUAGUUUUCUUUUGUACAAGCACGUUAAGGUAAUAUCCUCGAGGGAAGUGUUGAUGGAAGUCAUUAACUGAACGGUAUUCAGCAACAAGUUAGUAUUAACCAUUCACGUAUCUACCCACGCACGAUUUAAAAAGGUUAUUGGAUUUAAUCAACCUGUUACUCCGAAGUAAUUUCCUUACUAAUACCAAUAUUGACAUAUUAUUUUGUUGUAAGUAGCCAUUAUUGCUUAAAAAAGGAAAAUUUGAAAUUAAAAAUUAAUCACUUCGUUUAAUUAAGUUCAAUUUUAAAAUACAUAAAAUACAUUCUUUUCUGAAAUAUUUCACUGCUACAACUUCGUUUCUCUUCCUUUUUUGAUCAACGUCCGUCAUUUCGGUACAUUUUUAUUUCGUUCAAUGUAUUUUACACCGUGGAGUUUCCCGAGAGUUUUUGAUACCAAGAAGAAAUUAAGAAUCUUUCUUGCCCAACUUGCCCUGGGCGAUUUAUUUCUAUAUAUAUAGUUCAUUCUCAGAAUGCACAAAAGGUAUUGUUCUUCCAAACUAAUCCAUCAACUGCUGUCAAAGGUGCAUUCUAUUACAAACUUUCCCCCGUUUAAACGUUUGUGUUAAGUGUAAGAAACGAAUAUAGGUAUAUUUUCAGUAUUAUAAAAAGUGUUUUGCUCGUUUCGCUUAUUUCCUUCUACCAUUCAUCUUGCUAUUUAUCUUCGAUCGAAAUCGUUGAUUUAUGACUGCGAGAAAUCGUGUAAAGUAUACUUUUUAUAAUUUUAUACAUGUUUACAUUUACAAUUAAAUAAAUACAGAAUGGUUACAGAUUUCAAAGAAUUUACAAAAUUCAUUUGUGCAUAAUUAUAAUCGAUUAAUUAAAAAUUCAUUUCGUUUCAAACAUUUUAAUUCGAAUAAUUUAUAAUAUAAAUUAUCUCAAUAUCAAUCAUUAAAUUGUAUUCUUUCAGGAAUAAACAAUACUUAUCGCGAAAUUUAAUUUAAAACUCCAUUAAAUCUUAUUAAAAUUAAGAGAAAUUUAAAGUUUUGCAACUCCGAGGAUAGUGAUUUUCGGCCGACCAACGAGGGAUCAUCGAAAGCAAGAAAACUUUCCCUUCGAAUUGCUUUUUCAUUUAUACCGAUACGACUUCCGGUUCCCGAGAUAUCCUCGCGUAAAGAAAAGAAUAAUUUUUAACCGUUUACUAUUUCCGUCCUUGUCGCACGCCCGGACUUUGCACGAGUUAUCGCUAACACACCUUAGAAAUUCGAUUAAAAAUUAGGAAAACUUUAAACCGCUACAACUUCGAAGAUAAUAAUCCUAGCUCAAUGAAUGAAAGAUCAUUAGAAACGGGGAUAUUUGCUCUUUAAAAUAACCUUUUAUUUGUCUCGAUACGACUUCCGGUUCCCGAGAUAUAGUCCUGUAAAGAAAAGGAUAAUUUUUUAUCAUUUAUCUUUUAUCAUCCUUGUCGCUUAUUAGAAUUUCUUACUCAUUGAUCUAUUUCUAAUUUCACAUAAACAACGAACGAUGAAAUCCCAGGAAAAAUAAGAAACUUUGAAUCCUUGAUAUUUCGACAACCGAUUGAGAUAUCGACAUAGAACAAAGAGGACUUCAAUGGCGCGGAUUUCAUUAUCGUAAUUUCAUUUAUGACCAAGAAUAAAUGUUAAUUGAUACAAAGUGUACGUAGACACUUUUUAAGAAUUUUUAUGAUAUUUAAUUUAAACGUUAAAUAGAAAGUAUCUGAAAAGCACGAAACACACAAUUCCACCAAAUAUUUUACAAUCUUAAUAAAAAAGAGAAACUAA